rnacentral:rRNA from 1 species
GACGAACGCUGGCGGCGUGCUUAACACAUGCAAGUCGAACGGAAAGGCCCUGCUUUUGUGGGGUGCUCGAGUGGCGAACGGGUGAGUAACACGUGAGUAACCUGCCCUUGACUUUGGGAUAACUUCAGGAAACUGGUGCUAAUACCGGAUAGGAGCUCCUGCUGCAUGGUGGGGGUUGGAAAGUUUCGGCGGUUGGGGAUGGACUCGCGGCUUAUCAGCUUGUUGGUGGGGUAGUGGCUUACCAAGGCUUUGACGGGUAGCCGGCCUGAGAGGGUGACCGGCCACAGUGGGACUGAGAUACGGACCAGACUCCUACGGGAGGCAGCAGUGGGGAAUAUUGCACAAUGGGCGGAAGCCUGAUGAAGCAACGCCGCGUGCGGGAUGACGGCCUUCGGGUUGUAAACCGCUUUCGCCUGUGACGAAGCGUGAGUGACGGUAAUGGGUAAAGAAGCACCGGCUAACUACGUG